rnacentral:rRNA from 1 species
UGCAAGUCGAACGGCAGCACGGGGGCCACCCUGGUGGGGAGUGGCGAACGGGUGAGUAAUACAUCGGAACGUGCCCAGUCGUGGGGGAUAACUACGCGAAAGCGUAGCUAAUACCGCAUACGAUCUACGGAUGAAAGCGGGGGAUCGCAAGACCUCGCGCGAUUGGAGCGGCCGAUGGCAGAUUAGGUAGUUGGUGGGGUAAAGGCUCACCAAGCCGACGAUCUGUAGCUGGUCUGAGAGGACGACCAGCCACACUGGGACUGAGACACGGCCCAGACUCCUACGGGAGGCAGCAGUGGGGAAUUUUGGACAAUGGGCGCAAGCCUGAUCCAGCCAUUCCGCGUGCAGGAUGAAGGCCCUCGGGUUGUAAACUGCUUUUGUACGGAACGAAAAGGCUCUCUCUAAUACAGGGGGCUCAUGACGGUACCGUAAGAAUAAGCACCGGCUAACUACGUGCCAUC